UACGUAGGUGACAAGCGUUAUCCGGAUUACUGGGUGUAAAGGGCGUGUAGGCGGGUUUGCAAGUCAGAUGUGAAACCCCGGGGCUUAACUCCGGAGCUGCAUCUGAAACUGCAUACCUUGAGUACCGGAGAGGAAAGUGGAAUACCCAGUGUAGCGGUGAAAUACGUAGAGAUUGGGAGGAACACCAGUGGCGAAGGCGGCUUUCUGGACGAUAACUGACGCUGAGGCGCGAAAGUGUGGGGAGUAAACA
rnacentral:rRNA from 1 species